rnacentral:lncRNA from 1 species
GGUGAAUGCCUAUCAUUUUGUCUUUUGAUACAGGGAUCCAGUUUUGUUGUGAGGAGUGCUAUAGGCUGGACACUUUGGAAAAAUCCCGAGUGCACUUUGUGGACACUGCUGGCCUGAAAUAGUGGGGCACACUGGCCUGAGAGCUCCCUGGCUCCCAGUGCCUAAGGUCCUUUACCCCAUACUCCCUCAAGGUCCAUCCCUAUACCCUCCAGCCCACAGCAUGUGACCAAGCAUGUGCCCCUUAACCUGGAGCUGGAACCCUUCCUUUCACAGAUACCUGGAAAUUGAGCCAGAUCUGCAUCCGAGGGACACUAGAAGGGAUGGGGAGGAGCGCUUACCCCUGAACUCUGUUUUGUCUCAUGUUUGGAGGCCCAAGGUCAUUUGGUUCUUCAGAUUUCCAGCAAACUAUAGCUCUCACUCCCUUCCCGCAUGCCCUCACCCCACGGCUUUUACACUUAAGAGGAAUGGCCCUGCCUUCUCUGGGCCCACAGCUCCUGUGGCUUGAGGUUCCAGCCGUCUUGUUAACAAUUUUUCUCCCUGCGAUGUAGGAAUGAUGGCUGUGUUAACAGGUCGGGGGGCGGUUGGGGAGACACUAACAAGAUGAUAAACCUUGGUAUUUGGCUCUGCUGCUGACUUUGAGCGAGUCCUUUUUUACCUCUCAGAGCCUUAUUUUUCUCAUCUGUAAAGUGGGGAGUCCUGCUCCCCUCCCCUGAGGUUGUUCUAAUGAGGCCGUGCUCAUAGUAGGUAAAUAAUGUACACACACAACAUGGGCAUGCACAGCGAUGGGUGCAGGUUGCAAUUGGGACUUCCCUCUGUUCCCUCCAUCACAAUUGAUGAGGGACUUUGGGGCUGAUCUUGACUUCUCCAGGAUCCUGGUCUCCCAGUAGGUUGCUAGUGAUGCUCAAAAGGUAGGGGUCUCUCCCCAGGACACUGCCAGCCUGCCCUUCUGGGAGGAAGGAGACAGAAAGGGUUACUUUGGCAAUCACGAGGCUUAAGGAUGCCCCAAUGCUUCACCCUGUCCCAAACCGACCCCCUACUCCCACCCCCAAGUCUAAAGUGGGUCCCUCUACAAUAAUCUCUCAUCACGCCAUUCAUUCUUCCUUUGUGGCACUUAUUAUAAGUGCUAAUUAUUUAUCAAUAUUUGUUUUUUUAAACAAAACUUUAUUAUGAAAAGUUUCCAACAUUUACCAGAAAAACCCAAAACAGAACAGUAUCACAGACUCCAUAUACCUAUCACCCAGCUUCAACAAUGAUCAACUCGAGGUCAAUCUUGUUUUAUCUCUACCCCUACUCACUCCUGCCUCCUAGUAUUAAUUUGAGGCAACACAUUUGUAAAUGUUUUGGUAGGUAUUGCUAAAAAUAAGGGCUCUUGUAUAAAACAUAACCACAAAUACAUGUCAUUAUACAUUUAUCCAAACCCACAGAAUGUACAACACCAAGAGUGAACCCUAAUGUGAGCUAUGGACUUGGGGUGAUGAUGGUGUGUCAGUGCAGGCUCACUACUGUAUCAAAUGCUCUGCUCUGCUGGGGGAUGUUGAUACUGUGGCAGGCUGUGCACAACGUGGGGGCAGUCUCUGUACCAUCUUCUCAAUUUUCCUGUGAACUUAAAACUACUCUAAAAAAGUUAAGUCUUAAAAAAUAAAAUCAAAAGAGCAAAGCUCCUGUUAUUAAAUCUAAAAAAUGAACAAUAAUUCUUUGGUAUGUGAUUAUUGUUAAAUGUGUAUCUCCCUCCACUGGGUUGGGA